rnacentral:rRNA from 1 species
UUGUAGAGGAUGCUUCGGGUGUGGCCGCCGUCUAAGUUCCUUGGAACAGGACGUCAGAGAGGGUGAGAAUCCCGUCUUGGGCGGCUGGUCCGCGCCCGUGUGAAGCUCCUUCGACGAGUCGAGUUGUUUGGGAAUGCAGCUCUAAGCGGGUGGUAAAUUUCAUCUAAAGCUAAAUACUGGUCGGAGACCGAUAGCGCACAAGUAGAGUGAUCGAAAGGUUAAAAGCACCUUGAAAAGGGAGUUAAACAGCACGUGAAAUUGUUGAAAGGGAAGCGCUUGCGGCCAGACUCGGGGGCGGGGUUCAGCGGGUGCUCGUCGCCCGUGCACUCCCCGUCUCCCGGGCCAGCAUCAGUUUCGACGGCCGGUCAAAGGCCCCCGGAAUGUGUCGUCUCUCGGGACGUCUUAUAGCCGGGGGUGCAAUGCGGCCCGUUGGGACUGAGGAACGCGCUUCGGCUCGGAUGCUGGCGUAAUGGCCGUAAGCGGCCCGUCUUGAAACACGGACCAAGGAGUCUAACAUCCACGCGAGUGUUCGGGUGUCAAACCCGUGCGCGCAGUGAAAGCGAACGGAGGUGGGAGCCUUAGGGCGCACCAUCGACCGAUCCUGAAGUCUUCGGAUGGAUUUGAGUAGGAGCGUGGCCGUUGGGACCCGAAAGAUGGUGAACUAUGCCUGAAUAGGGUGAAGCCAGAGGAAACUCUGGUGGAGGCUCGCAGCGGUUCUGACGUGCAAAUCGAUCGUCAAAUUUGGGCAUAGGGGCGAAAGACUAAUCGA